rnacentral:rRNA from 1 species
GACGAACGCUGGCGACGUGCUUAACACAUGCAAGUCGAACGUGAUUUUUGUGGAAAUUCUUUCGGGAAUGGAAAUGAAAUGAAAGUGGCGAACGGGUGAGUAACACGUGAGCAACCUACCUUACACAGGGGGAUAGCCGUUGGAAACGACGAUUAAUACCGCAUGAGACCACAGAAUCGCAUGAUAUAGGGGUCAAAGAUUUAUCGGUGUAAGAAGGGCUCGCGUCUGAUUAGCUAGUUGGAAGGGUAAAGGCCUACCAAGGCGACGAUCAGUAGCCGGUCUGAGAGGAUGAACGGCCACAUUGGAACUGAGACACGGUCCAAACUCCUACGGGAGGCAGCAGUGGGGAAUAUUGCACAAAUGGGGGGAAACCCCUGAUGCAGCGACGCCGCGU